rnacentral:tRNA from 1 species
GGCCUCAUAGCUCAACUGGUAGAGCACCCGGCUCAUAACCGGGAGGAUGUGGGUUCGAUCCCCAAUAAGGCCA